AAGUCGUAACAAGGUUUCCGUAGGUGAACCUGCGGAAGGAUCAUUGCAAAAUUGAGGGGUUGAGAUGUAGAAAUGUGUGUGCGGGAGAAAAUGUGACAGUGAAAAUGCGUAAAAAAUAACAACUCAUCACCAUGGAUCUCUGGGCUCUU
rnacentral:misc_RNA from 1 species